rnacentral:piRNA from 1 species
UACUAACCUUGUUGUGUGGCUUCUGUAGU